CGGGGCGUAGCGCAGCCUGGUAGCGCGUUCGGUUCGGGACCGAAAGGACGGAGGUUCAAAUCCUCUCGCCCCGA
rnacentral:tRNA from 1 species